UACAGAGGGGGCUAGCGUUGUUCGGAAUUACUGGGCGUAAAGGGCGCGUAGGCGGCCCUCUAAGUCGAACGUGAAAUCCCCGGGCUCAACCCGGGAACUGCGUCCGAUACUGGAGGGCUCGAAUCCGGGAGAGGGAUGUGGAAUUCCAGGUGUAGCGGUGAAAUGCGUAGAUAUCUGGAGGAACACCGGUGGCGAAGGCGACUGCCUGGACCAGCACUGACACUGAGGAGCGAAAGCGUGGGGAGCGAACAGG
rnacentral:rRNA from 1 species